ensembl:lncRNA
AUGUCCACUGCUGUGUGCUAACAGAGAGUCAUAGUUAGAGAAAGGGCCACUGCUGUGUGCUAACAGAGAGUCAUAGUUAGAGAAAGGGCCACUGCUGUGUGCUAACAGAGAGUCAUAGUUAGUUAAAGGGCCACUGCUGUGUGCUAACAGAGUCAUAGUUAGAGAAAGGUCCACUGCUGUGUGCUAACAGAGAGGCAUAGUUAGAGAAAGGUCCACUGCUGUGUGCUAACAGAGAGUCAUAGUUAGAGAAGUUAGAGUUCUAAAGGUCCAGAGGUCUAGAGAAUGAGUGUGUUUCUUUAUGACUCGACUAUAAAAAGUCUCACCAAUAUAUCUCUCCUUCCUUUGGAUCUACUUGAUAAUGUGUAAAAAAGCAACUGAGAAAAAAAUGUGUGGGGUUCAGGACUGAGCCUCUGGACUUUAUACCUUCUUCUGGACCCAGCAGAUGUGCCAAGUUGGCACAGAACCACAGGUCUGGUCCGGUUGGGCUGGGCUGGGUCCAUUCUCCUCAGAAGACCCAUCACAUGGUUUCACCAUCUCACGGGCCGCCAGGGUGCUGGGGAUAAUAACAAGAUUUAGAGCCCACUCCCUACAAUGAGAGAG